GCAUCAAUGGGGUAGCGGUAACCUGGGUCGUUAACCCCGACAUGCCGAGGGUUCGAUUCCCGCUUGAUGCA
rnacentral:tRNA from 1 species